GAAUUAAUCAAGGCAGAAGAGGGAGUCUGAAGUCCUGUGGGAAGGACCACCAUGGGUCACUGGUCACCAUCAUUUGCUGGCAAAGAGGUUCACCAUACAGAUCACCUGGAGGACGUGCUCAGCACUGAACGGAGAUUCCUUGGAUGCACAGCCAGUCCACCACAUGUCUGGGUUGAGCCCUGGGGGAGUUUAGACCUGAAUAAGGAAGGGCUGCAACCCAGCAGAUGAGCACCAAACUGGAAGUCAGAUAGCUCCUCCCUGCAGGACCUUCACAAGCCUUACUUCCUUUCUGCAACUUGGUUUCCUUUCCUGUAAAUCUGGG
ensembl:lncRNA